rnacentral:rRNA from 1 species
UGGGGAAUCUUGCGCAAUGCGCGAAAGCGUGACGCAGCAACGCCGCGUGGGGGAAGACGGCCUUCGGGUUGUAAACCCCUUUCAGUUGGGACGAAGCUUCGACGGUGAAUAGCCGGCUGGAGUGACGGUACCUUCAGAAGAAGCCCCGGCUAACUACGUGCCAGCAGCCGCGGUAAUACGUAGGGGGCAAGCGUUGUCCGGAAUCAUUGGGCGUAAAGAGCGUGUAGGCGGUUCAGUAAGUCUGCUGUGAAAGUCCAAGGCUCAACCUUGGGAUGCCGGUGGAUACUGCUGAGCUAGAGUACGGAAGAGGCGAGUGGAAUUCCCGGUGUAGCGGUGAAAUGCGCAGAUAUCGGGAGGAACACCUAUUGCGAAGGCAGCUCGCUGGGACGUCACUGACGCUGAGACGCGAAAGCGUGGGGAGCAAACAG